rnacentral:rRNA from 1 species
CAGUAGCCGCGGUAAUACGAAGGGGGCUAGCGUUGUUCGGAUUUACUGGGCGUAAAGCGCACGUAGGCGGAUCCUUAAGUCAGAGGUGAAAUCCCAAGGCUCAACCUUGGAACUGCCUUUGAUACUGGGGAUCUCGAGUUCGGGAGAGGUGAGUGGAACUGCGAGUGUAGAGGUGAAAUUCGUAGAUAUUCGCAAGAACACCAGUGGCGAAGGCGGCUCACUGGCCCGAUACUGACGCUGAGGUGCGAAAGCGUGGGGAGCAAACAGGAUUAGAUACCCCUGUAGUCCCUGUCUCUUAUAC